UACGGAGGGUGCAAGCGUUAUCCGGAUUCACUGGGUUUAAAGGGUGCGUAGGCGGCCGAAUAAGUCAGUGGUGAAAGCCCGCAGCUUAACUGCGGAACUGCCAUUGAAACUGCUCGGCUUGAGUACUAUUGAAGUGGGUGGAAUGCAUCAUGUAGCGGUGAAAUGCUUAGAUAUGAUGCAGAACCCCGAUUGCGAAGGCAGCUCACUAAAUAGUAACUGACGCUGAGGCACGAAAGCGUGGGUAGCGAACAGG
rnacentral:rRNA from 1 species